CCCUUCCCUCUCCUUCUUCUCCCCCAUUUUCCCAUUUUCCUUUAUUGUUUAAUUAAUUUUCAUAAAUUCAUUUUUUUUGUUUGUUAAUCUUCUUUUCCUGAUCCAUGCUUAGGAUAUUGUGGUGGAUCAGGCCCUGACUCUGAUCUUACCCAAAUCUCUCUCUCACUCUCUCCUUUCUAUUUUACUUGAACCAGAUCGAGUCUUAAUUUCUAAUUUUUUAAUUAUAAAAUUAGAUUUGACUUUGGGAUUUUUAAAUUGAUCAAGUGAAUCACAGAUUUGGAGAUAUGAUCGUGAUCAAAUCCAUCACAUACUGGUAACCUUGCUCUCCACCUAAAUAUUUAGAUCCUAGGAUUAGUCGAGAUCCCUGGAUGUU
rnacentral:lncRNA from 1 species